rnacentral:rRNA from 1 species
CAAGUCGAACGCGAAAGUUCCCUUCGGGGAGCAAGUAGAGUGGCGCACGGGUGAGUAACACGUAGGUAAUCUACCUUUGGAUGGGGAAUAACAACCGGAAACGGUUGCUAAUACCGCAUAAUGCAGCGGCACCUAAUGGUGACAGUUGUUAAAGCGGGGGAUCGAAAGACCUCGCGUCUGAAGAGGAGCCUGCGGCGGAUUAGCUAGUUGGUAAGGUAAUGGCUUACCAAGGCGAUGAUCCGUAACCGGCCUGAGAGGGCGGUCGGUCACACUGACACUGACAUACGGGUCAGACUCCUACGGGAGGCAGCAGUCGGGAAUUUUGGGCAAUGGGCGAAAGCCUGACCCAGCAACGCCGCGUGAAGGAUGAAAUCCCUCGGGAUGUAAACUUCGCAAGAACAGGAAGAAUAAGUAAGGGUUAAUAUCCCUUAUGAUGACGGUACUGUUUGUAAGCUCCGGCUAACUCCGUGCCAGCAGCCGCGGUAAUACGGGGGGAGCAAGCGUUGUUCGGAUUUACUGGGCGUAAAGGGCGCGUAGGCGGCCACCGCAAGUCGGUUGUGAAAUCUCUGGGCUUAACCCAGAAAGGUCAACCGAUACUGCGGGGCUAGAGUGCAGAAGGGGCAACUGGAAUUCUCGGUGUAGCGGUGAAAUGCGUAGAUAUCGAGAGGAACACCUGCGGCGAAGGCGGGUUGCUGGGCUGACACUGACGCUGAAGCGCGAAAGCUAGGGGAGCGAACGGGAUUAGAUACCCCGGUAGUCCUAGCCUUAAACGAUGAAUGCUUGGUGUCUGGGGUUUUAUAGUCCCC